AUUGAACGCUGGCGGCAGGCCUAACACAUGCAAGUCGAGCGAGCGGCGGACGGGGGAGGAAUGUCUGGGAAACUGCCUGAUGGAGGGGGAUAACUACUGGAAACGGUAGCUAAUACCGCAUACCAUCAGAUGUGCCCAGAUGGGAUUAGCUAGUAGGUGGGGUAACGGCUCACCUAGGCGACGAUCCCUAGCUGGUCUGAGAGGAUGACCAGUCACACUGGAACUGAGACACGGUCCAGACUCCUACGGGAGGCAGCAGUGGGGAAUAUUGCACAAUGGGCGCAAGCCUGAUGCAGCAAUGCCGGGUGUGUGAAGAAGGCCUUCGGGUUGUAAAACACUUUCAGCGGGGAGGCGUUACCCGCAGAAGAAGCACCGGCUAACUCCGUGCCAGCCGCCGCGGUAAUUC
rnacentral:rRNA from 1 species